rnacentral:lncRNA from 1 species
ACAUACUAAUAACUAGCCCGACAGACCUCUGCUCCUGUGCUCAGUGCUCUUAAGGACAAUAAUGACUACAACAGCCAUAAUAGCCACAGUUUAUUGAGCGCUUACUCUUCCACCGCAGUGUUAAGCGCUUUGCAGGCAACAACCCUCGGAGAAACCUUGGCGGCGCGGCCCGCUGCUUGCUGUCUGAUGCAACAGUUUGCAACGCGGUUCUGGGAGUGGAGGCCCGUGGUGCGGCAUCCGGGCCGCUGACGCGCAUGCGCCGGCUGUGCCCUGCCCCGCCCCGCGGCGGGAAUCUUUACACCAGAUGUGCGGGGCGGGGAUGGAGGCGGGGCCAGAGGCGCGAAGACCUUUUUGGCAGAUCGCGCCUGCGAUCUGAGCUGAAUUAGAGUCGAAUUAGAGUUCUCCGCAGGCAUUGGCUGACUGACCCAGUGAUCCAAAAAAAAGAGGCCCGAACCACCCCAAACGAGCCUGAAGAGAGAAGUUAAAGAGCUAGCUGGCUUUUGAGUCGGCCUCCCUUUCCGAGCCUCCGAUUUCCGCUGCCGUCCCACCUAUCUUGUCCUGAACGUUUUCUUUACAGGAGGGAACAUGUCACAUCAAUAUGUUCAGCCUUUCAGAUGUCUGAUGAAGACGAUUGUCUUCCAUAUACAUAUUCCUCCGGUAUUAUAGAUUGUAAUUGACUUUUAUUUUAUUAACUGUUUCUCUAAAAUAACUUUAAAUCGAUUCUCUUUUUAUGUACCCUAGCCCCAAGCGAUAACAUUAGAGAAACCAUUUUCAUAGCCUGAAAAUAAGCUCAGAACUAUUCAAAUAAAAAUGUUUGUUGUUGU